UGGUCGAGGGGAACAGGUAACGGCGGUCGGCGUCAGGUCCCCGUUCGCGCGUCGCUGCCGUCGGGUCGCCUCAGGUAGCGUCUAGCAACUAACUUAGAACUGGUGUGGACUAGUGGAAUCCGACUGUUUAAUUAAAACAAAGCAUCGCCAGUGCUCUGAAAGUCAAAGUGGAGAAAUAAAGCGUGGGUGUCAGGUAAACGGUGUGAGUAACUAUGAUAGAAUGAUAAAUGUAAUAUAAUAUAGAGUUUGAACAGUUAUCCCACUACCUCUGUUAACCCCUGGUAACAUGUUUAUCCUUAAGAUGGUUUGGGUCAAAUUGACCAGAGGUGUCUAUGUGGUUUUAAAAACAGUAUAAUUAUGUUAACCCAAUAACCAUAAACAUUUAUCUGUGAGCCAAUUAACACGUAGUAAAGAUUCAUAUUUGUUCUGAAGUUUGCAUGUGAAUUCUCAUAAUUGCCUCUCCUAUGUACUCCAGACUCCUUUCCUUCCAGUGUCCGCCAGAUUACAAGUGAGGACACUGAGGUUGUAAGAGAACUAAUCAUAAAGGGACUGUGCGUAUAUCUUCACGAGGACCCAGCACACCUGUUCAUGGAAUAUGAGAGUGAAGACCAUGCUGCAAUCCAGGACGGAAUCGGGGACACCACGGUGGGAAUUUUCCUCAUAAGGCAAAAUGGCGGUAGUGAGGUAGAGGACAUCCUUGUGGUCCUUGAAGGCCAGGCCAUAUUGGUCGACCUACCAAGUGUUGGAGUGGCGGUUGCCAUGCUGUUUGGCCCUAUUUACAACUUAAACCUGGACUACUCUCCUCAACUCAGAUACACCUUUGAGGUGGUACAGAAAGUUGUAAUGGAGUUGGAAGGCAAAGUGCUGUCAAAAAGGGCUCAGGCCCUGAAAAUCCAACUCUUUGAAUACAGAUGGUAUCUUAGAAAAUGUCAUAGUUUUCUGUUUUGCAAAUUUUGUUAUAUAUGUUUAUGAGAGCGCCUAAGUCUCUCGCGUUGCCUUAGUUUUGUCUUUUUUUUAAAGAGCAGCAUACAGAGAUUGCCUGGGACUGCAAUAAUAACCUUGUAAAGUCGGGUUCCUUUGUUUUCCUCUUUUUUUUGAGAGUGGGUUUAUGCGGUACCUUGCUCUGUUUGACAUUUCUGUUUCCCAAAAAAAGUCCCAAAAUAGAUAGCCACUGAUUUUAGGUCUUGUUUUAGGGCGUCUUGGAGAGCACUUUAAAAGGCUUAGAGCAUCUUUGAAAAGUUGCUGAUAUAAGACACCGAAAUGUUAGAUUUUGUCAAUGCUCAGUUAAUAGUUAAUGACCGUUCAAGUUGAUGAAAUUCAACUUUAUCAACUUUUUGCACUGUUCUAAAGAUAUAUUUUUUUAGUUGAAUUAAUAAAAGGGUUGAAGUGCAAAUUUGUGUUAAGUGUCCUGUGUUUGAUGAAUUUUGCGUUGCUUUUCAUAUCAAUGACUAAUUGAUCAGUUGGCAACUAAACAAUGUACAUCAUACUAAAUUAUGUACAUUUAAUUUUAAUGUAUGUUUGGUAAAUUCUAAU